rnacentral:rRNA from 1 species
UACGAAGGGGGCUAGCGUUGCUCGGAAUCACUGGGCGUAAAGGGUGCGUAGGCGGGUCUUUAAGUCAGGGGUGAAAUCCUGGAGCUCAACUCCAGAACUGCCUUUGAUACUGAGGAUCUUGAGUUCGGGAGAGGUGAGUGGAACUGCGAGUGUAGGAGGUGAAAUUCGUAGAUAUUCGCAAGAACACCAGUGGCGAAGGCGAGCUCACUGGCCCGAGU